CCGGCUUUAUUGAUUUAGUUUUUAUUACACAUGAAUUGCUUUGACAAAAUUUUAAUUAUUAAACGUUUGAUUGCUUCGACCUUGCUUUUACCAGGGUGGGGAGCCAGUGUGAGAAACACAUUUCAGGGCGUGGAACCAGAGCGUGGAAAAGCCUGGGGAGGAGAGGCCAGAGUGAAGCGAGGGGCGAGGGCGGCCGUGACCCGCGGGGAGUUCUGGAGCGGAGGGGGAUGGUGACCUCCCGGCCACCAGAAGGCGGAGCAGGGCCCGCGGACCGCCGGACAGCCGACGGGUGCGGACGGAAGAAAGUGAGCCUGCAGGACUUCCGACUUUAGAACAGGCACAGCUGUCCACCCACCUCCCUCCUCAGCCGGGUCUAGCGCCCCGUGGCGGAAAGCGAACGUGGAGACCCCCGGUUGCCACCGCCGAGCGCUCCCGGCGGCACAAGCGCCCGGUCAAGCCACCGCAGCACUUACCGCCCGGGGAAGAUGAAGGCCCCAAAACGCCCGGUUCCUCUGCUCCCGCAGGGCUCCCAGGCCCCGCCCACAGGUCCGGAGCCAAUGAGCGGCGGGCAGGGCCCGUUCGCCGGAGCGCACGCCGCCGGCGUCUUUGUGGGAACAGCCAAUCACAGACAGGGAUCCAGACAACUCUGGCCAAUCGGAGAUAGGGUCUCGGCGUGCCGGUGUUUUUUCUCUGCUACGUCGUUUUUUCUGGCUCUUUCCACUCGGAGUCAUUUAAACUGUGAAGGGGUCAGGAGUCAUUCCCACGUUAGUGGGAGGAGUGUCGGCUCCCGAACGAGACCGCUGGAGCCCAGCCUUAGCAGAGGCCCCGCUGACUCUCGACCCACGGGACACACUCAGUCUCACGCUUCUGCUCUGACGACAGAGCGAGCCUUGUUCCUUCCAGGUGUUUACGGAAUAAGCAAAUAAGGGCAUAUGUAGUGUGGACAUGGAAUAGAACCAGGAAAUGCUGCAACUGAAGCCCAGUUCCAGAUGAUUUCAUUGUUGGGACUCCUUGGAUCCUCAUGCCAAUGUCCGGACUCAGACCAUAGUUAAAAUUCUGAAGAGUGAGGACCAGAAAAUUCCUGAAACAAAUGGGGCCAUUAGCAAAAAAACAAAAAAGAAGAGGUAACUGAUGUCUCAGUUGGAUCAUCUUAUUCACCAGGAUGUGGACAAAUUGCUGCCAUAACAGAAGAGUCAGUGGGUUGAGUUAACCAAGCCACUUUAAACAUUUAUUGAGCACCAGCUUUUUGUAACAUUUUGUACUGGGUGCUGGUAUAACUAUGAGCCACAUAGUCUCUGUUCUUCAGGAGCUAAGAAUCAAGUUGGUUGUAUUUUGAACAUUCUGUGAAGUUAAAAUAGUUAAUGGGGAGAUCAUUUUCAUUUGUAACUUGCAAUUGUCCAUGACCAUGACUGACUCUCAAGGGCCCAGGCAAAGCGGCACCUUAGGGUUGCUGGGGGAGAGGGCUUGUGUUCACCAAGGGAAGGCUGGACAGAGAGCUUUUGAAGGCCUAUCAGCCCAUCACCCCUCCAGAGAAGCUGUCCUUCCCAACCUCACUCAGGGUGCCUUGUUUGCUGUGAAAGGCAGACAUGUGUUUGCAGGCGAGGUUCUGUUUCAGGGAUAUUCCAUGGCUGUAAGUGCAGACCACAACCCUCUGCCUGAAUCCAGCACAGACCAGUACAACAAGGUGAGUGGCUAUCUGUGAGAUGUUGUCUGUACUGUGGGUGAGGAAUGUUACCAUAAAAGAAGUAAAGACUGAGAACUGACUGGGGGGCAAGGAGGAAGGUGAGGGCAUUGAGGAAGUGGGGCUAAGGAAGGGGUAGGAAGCCAGUGCAAACCCUGGGGCCUCAAUAAGCUUCAUGCAGGCUUAGGCUUGAACUUCAGAAGAGAGCUGCCCAUGAUAGUGGCACAGAAGUCAGAAGAAAACCUGUGAGGGGUGGAGGCUAAGUGGAGGCUAAGAGGAGUACACCCCAGACAAUGUUAGUUGCCCCACUCUACGUCAAAAGUCUCUUUCUGGACCUUUUAUAUAGAAUAAAGCCUCCUGUUCUUCCAGUAUUUUAGAUUGUCUUUGGUUUCCAGAAAGCAAGGCUGAUACUUCUUCAGAGUCCCAAGGAGGGGAAGUUAGGUCCUCUUCCCGCAUCCCCUCAGUGUUAGCCCAAGCUAAGAGAGAAGUCCCGGAUCAGAGCAGCAAAGCUGCAGACCUUUGUUAAUACUCUCACUUAGGCAGGGAAAGAGCCUAGAAGCUAAAACCUAGAGUUCUGUCUAGAGGACAUGGAGAGCCUUUCUGGAAGUGUUCCUGAGUCACUGAAGGCCUCUGAAACUGACUGAGGAAUCAUUGAGAGUGUAUAUUAGUUAUCCCAAGAUACUGAGAACAGGGAGUAGAGAGAAGGGAGCAGCUGUAGAGGCAAAGGAAAGGAGCAAUAGUAUGAAGAAGACCUACUUCAAUGUGAGAUGCCACGGCUGGGAAUAUAGGAGUAUGGAUGUGUGUGUGAGAUGUUCU
ensembl:lincRNA